GAUGAACGCUGGCGGCGUGCCUAAUACAUGCAAGUCGAGCGAACGGACGAGAAGCUUGCUUCUCUGAUGUUAGCGGCGGACGGGUGAGUAACACGUGGAUAACCUACCUAUAAGACUGGGAUAACUUCGGGAAACCGGAGCUAAUACCGGAUAAUAUUUUGAACCGCAUGGUUCAAAAGUGAAAGACGGUCUUGCUGUCACUUAUAGAUGGAUCCGCGCUGCAUUAGCUAGUUGGUAAGGUAACGGCUUACCAAGGCAACGAUGCAUAGCCGACCUGAGAGGGUGAUCGGCCACACUGGAACUGAGACACGGUCCAGACUCCUACGGGAGGCAGCAGUAGGGAAUCUUCCGCAAUGGGCGAAAGCCUGACGGAGCAACGCCGCGUGAGUGAUGAAGGUCUUCGGAUCGUAAAACUCUGUUAUUAGGGAAGAACAUAUGUGUAAGUAACUGUGCACAUCUUGACGGUACCUAAUCAGAAAGCCACGGCUAACUACGUGCCAGCAGCCGCGGUAAUACGUAGGUGGCAAGCGUUAUCCGGAAUUAUUGGGCGUAAAGCGCGCGUAGGCGGUUUUUUAAGUCUGAUGUGAAAGCCCACGGCUCAACCGUGGAGGGUCAUUGGAAACUGGAAAACUUGAGUGCAGAAGAGGAAAGUGGAAUUCCAUGUGUAGCGGUGAAAUGCGCAGAGAUAUGGAGGAACACCAGUGGCGAAGGCGACUUUCUGGUCAGUAACUGACGCUGAUGUGCGAAAGCGUGGGGAUCAAACAGGAUUAGAUACCCUGGUAGUCCACGCCGUAAACGAUGAGUGCUAAGUGUUAGGGGGUUUCCGCCCCUUAGUGCUGCAGCUAACGCAUUAAGCACUCCGCCUGGGGAGUACGACCGCAAGGUUGAAACUCAAAGGAAUUGACGGGGACCCGCACAAGCGGUGGAGCAUGUGGUUUAAUUCGAAGCAACGCGAAGAACCUUACCAAAUCUUGACAUCCUUUGACAACUCUAGAGAUAGAGCCUUCCCCUUCGGGGGACAAAGUGACAGGUGGUGCAUGGUUGUCGUCAGCUCGUGUCGUGAGAUGUUGGGUUAAGUCCCGCAACGAGCGCAACCCUUAAGCUUAGUUGCCAUCAUUAAGUUGGGCACUCUAAGUUGACUGCCGGUGACAAACCGGAGGAAGGUGGGGAUGACGUCAAAUCAUCAUGCCCCUUAUGAUUUGGGCUACACACGUGCUACAAUGGACAAUACAAAGGGCAGCGAAACCGCGAGGUCAAGCAAAUCCCAUAAAGUUGUUCUCAGUUCGGAUUGUAGUCUGCAACUCGACUACAUGAAGCUGGAAUCGCUAGUAAUCGUAGAUCAGCAUGCUACGGUGAAUACGUUCCCGGGUCU
rnacentral:rRNA from 1 species